rfam:Gossypium arboreum cultivar AKA8401 contig_19701_7, whole genome shotgun sequence.
AUCCCAUAAUGAGGACACUUAUAAAGUAACUCUUUGAAUUGCUCCUAAGCCUCGUACAAAGACUCAUCAUCCAAUUGUUAGAAAGUUGUGAUCUCGUUCCUCAACUU